UUUACUCAUUUUUUAUUUACAUUUAGUUUAUGUGUUCGUUGGUAUUUAUCAUUAUAUUUACAGAUCACAGGCGGAGCGUUGAGCUCAUCUCGUCCUCCAACAUUAAAUAUUAAAUGGUCCAUUUCCAGCAUCUCACAAAACAAAAUGGCCACUGCAGCGUAUCGGACCUCCAACACACCUUUUGAUCUUCUUCGCCCAUGAUAAUCGCUCAAGGUCGCCGCCUAAGAAGACAUCUGGGUCUUGCCGGACCGGUCGAGGUCACAAACAGCACGACCCGCAGGAUGUUACGUCGCAGAGUUGUGGAUCAGGGCUAACGUAGCUUGAAAUGGCUAACAAGUGUUCUUCUCUAAACGAGGAUCUGUUCCUUUCAGUAGCUAAUAUAGAGGACGAGGUUUUGUACUUGCAGCUCUGACGUAGAACCUUUGAGCAUGUUCAGUAUCUGUGUGUGUGUGUGUGUGUGUGUGUGUGUGUGUGUGUUUGAGUGCAUGGAUCAGUGUGUGUUGGGACAUUGGUCUGCAUGCAGACUGCUGGUUCUGACUCUGUAUAUACCAGUUUUGUACCUGACUGCAUUCCUCUGCUGUACAGAACUCAUCUGAUGCCAUCAUGACAAACGUUGGCGUCAGCUCAUGAUCAGAACGUGUUUCUGUCUUUGCACCGCAGCGUUUCUCUUUCUUGUCUCGCUUGCAGAUUUCUUUAACACAUUUGUUGCCUCAUGAUGUUGCUGAGCUUCAAACACUGUCGGGCACAUUUGACUUUUCAACGUCACCACAAGCUAACACAUGACUUACCUUAGCGACACGCUGCUCUACCAAUUGCUGUCGUCACAAUUACAAUAUGAAGCCAAUAACUUUAAAACAAAACCCCCUUAAAACAUAAAAAGUCAACCUUGAUCUGACCAACUGUCCCGUAACGUCCAGCAGGACGUUAGCCAAACUACACAACCAACAGCUGGCUGUUUUAAUGACUUAUUGUUUUAACAAUUUAAUAGUUGAAGUUGGUGUGUUGGUUGGUAAAUUAUAUUUAAUAUAGUGUUAGCUGCCUGUGCAUGUUAUUUUCUAGCCCUGUACGUUAGCCUGAUAGUGAUGGAGUGCCGACUACAUUGAGCGAGCAGAUGUUACAUAACAGUCUGAUGUCCUCAGUUACAGUUUUAAUCUCAUUAUGUCCAGAUUUUAAAUUUUUCUUUUGACCUGCAGCUUGCUCGAUCAGUCUGUGAAUUUAUAGCAUAGCUAAUCUUAGCUAACGUAGCAUUAGCUCAGCAGCUAACAGAGAGACAGGGAGCCACAGCAGGAUCAAUACAGAUGAUCCUGACAUCUUCAGCUUCAUGAGAUUUACCAGCAUCACGUUCUGGGACUCUGUUCAUUCAUCACCUGGUUGGAUUUUCUGGACGUUUCUGUUCUCAAGCAGGCUCUAACGACUGACAUCUUACCUGUCAGCACCAGAACCUCACCUGGAGCCUGAUUCAAAGAGGAGCGAGUUCUUUGUUGUUUUCUUUUGAAGACGAUGUCUGAGUGGAGGUGGAGGUGAAGCUGAAGGUGGAGGCGAGCCCGCUCCUCCGUCACUGCUCUGCUGUCAUGUGACAGAUGCUUCUGACCUCUUUGAGUUUCUGCUUUCGUUGUUUUGUACAUUUUGGGAUGGAGGGAGAAAAUAGAAACAUAUUUUUGAGGAUCAUAUUCUUGAUUUUGUUUAUAAAAGACAGAAAUGAGGAUUAUUAUUGUUACUGUUAUUAUUAUUGUUGUUGUUGUUAUUAUUGCUGUUGCUCGUGCAUCGUGCCGUACUCGUUCUCUCUGGUGAGCUCAGUCAUCUCAUGUUUCAGCCGUUUCUUCUUUUAUCCUCUCGGAGGUGAAACCUGCAUGUGUCGGUCUGACGGAGCGGUGACAGUCGACCGGAUGAUUAUUAUUAUCAAUACUUUGUGUUUUAUUGAUAAGACAUGAAUUAUUGAGGAUGAUAUUAAAAACAGAAGCGGUGUGAGUAAAUAAAAUAAAACACUUGA